CAGUUCGGACUGUAGUCUGNAACCCGACUACACGAAGCUGGAAUCGCUAGUAAUCGCGAAUCAGAAUGUCGCGGUGAAUACGUUCCCGGGUCUUGUACACACCGCCCGUCACACCAUGGGAGUCGGGAAUGCCCGAAGUCAGUGGCCCAACCUAUAGGAGGGAGCUGCCGAAGGCAGGUCUGAUAACUGGGGUGAAGUCGUAACAAGGUACC
rnacentral:rRNA from 1 species